rnacentral:rRNA from 1 species
AUACAGAGGGUGCGAGCGUUAAUCGGAAUUACUGGGCGUAAAGCGCGCGUAGGCGGCUACUUAAGUCAGAUGUGAAAUCCCCGGGCUCAACCUGGGAACUGCAUCUGAUACUGGGUAGCUAGAGUUUAGGAGAGGGAAGUAGAAUUUCAGGUGUAGCGGUGAAAUGCAUAGAGAUCUGAAGGAAUACCAGUGGCGAAGGCGGCUUCCUGGCCUAAAUCUGACGCUGAGGUGCGAAAGCGUGGGUAGCAAACGGGAUUAGAAACCCUUGUAGUCC